AAGGUUAAACGCACAGCAGCAGCCGAGAAAAGAAGCAGGUUUAACAUUUUCCCUCUUAAACGAUUAACUCUCAAACUAUCAAGACGUUUAUAAGCAGUUUGGUUUUAAUAUGAAAUGAAAAGAAAGAAAGAAAGCGAAGAAACGGGCAUACUGAGGGGAUUUUUUUAUUUUGACAUUCUGCGCAUGCGUUGUAGAUAUUUGUAUGUACGUCGCGAGCUGCUCCGCUGCUGUGGUCGACGGAAAACUCACAAUCACUCUUUUAUUACAUCCAGAUAAACUCUCAGAAGGUGGAUAUAAAGUGUAAAUGCUGUAAGAGAUGGAGAGCAGACAGGUGAAGACAGACAGAUAAUGAUGACAGAUGUGUGGCAGGAUCUCAGACGGUUGGUGGCUUCUAAUUUGCUGGUACAAGCUGACAGAACCACUGACCCGGCAGAACUCACAACACAAGAGGAAACGUGUCAGAGUAGCGACGGCUCUUCACCGAAUCAGCAAUCCAUAGAGAACAAGAGAACCCGGCGGAUCUGACAGAAUCACCUGACGGAAAACACACACAACAGCAUCCGCAGCAGAUGUCUGUCCAUCAACAGAAAGGAAGCUGGACCACAGUUUCAUUCAAUUACAAACUUUCCAAAUUAGAAAUUGUAACUAAAUUCCUUUUAACCACACAAAACACUUUGCGAUCUAUAUUUCGUCUUGGAGGGCUUUCAAUGCAUUCUGGGAUUAAAAGUUUCACCAUUAAGGAUGCUAAAAAGCAGCACAUCAUUCACAUCAGGACCACUCUUAUGAUGCCUUCAAAGGCUGCCUCUCUAGGGAUCGACAUGGCCCGCAAGUAAACAACAUUUAAAGUGACAAUCUACAUGGUUUUAUAAUAGGUUUGAUGACCACAAAAAUCUUAUAAAAGCAGACUGAUUCCUGACAAUUGAGCUACUAUAAAUAAUGUUUAAUCAUUUGAUGAAAAACAUGCCAUUUACAGCAAGAGAAUAUCAUGCUUUCCAGAAAACACGCACGUAAACAGCGUACCAAACAGACGUCGAUG